CCUGCGCGCCGCCCUCCGGGAUUCCCCGCGGCCACGUCCCGGUCCCCGGAGCCGCGCCCGCCCCUCGCCCCCGGCCGCCCCUGCACUGUCACCCACGCCGCGGGGCGCAGAGAAGCGUCCGGUCGGGACUUGGACCCGGAAAAGGUGAUCGCGCCCUCCCCGAGCGGUUCCCUCCCGAGUCCGGGCGCUGAGAGUCGUGAACGCUGUGGAGGUCCAGCCGUUCUGUCCCCGCAGGGCAAAGACGCCCGGGUCACAGAGGACAUGGGGAGGACGUGAAGACUCAGACCGGAUCCAAAGGUGUAAGGAAACUGAACGCCGCGAAAGCUGGUUUCUCAUGCCAGUGUAGACCUGACUCGGAGAGAUCAUCCAGUGUGUGCUGGAGGUCGGCUCCGUGGGCGCCGACUCGAGGGGCACUGACUGGCUGCAGACACUUGCCUGGGCUGAUGUGUCUCCCCACAGGUGGUUCAGACCUGUUCGUAGCAAGAGCAGAAAUAGGAACUAUCCAAGGAGGCAGGCAGGCCGCACCGUGACCGGGUGAUCCAAAUUUCCAUCGCCGGUGAGAGCAGAUGGAGUUCGUGUCCACAUCAGCCGCGCAGUAUCCCCGGGGACAGCGCAUCAUCCGAAUCGUAAUGAUGAAACACCAGACAACCCCAAAUAAGGGCCAUCCAUUAAAAAGAGGAAGGGGCCGCAUUGUGCAAAAAUGCCAGUGUCCUGAAAAUCAAAAGAAAGCUCGGGAAAUGUUCCAGAUUAAAGGGUGCUAAAGACUCAGGGCAACUUAAUGCCAUGCCUGAUCUAGGCGGCAUCUUGUACUAGAGGAGGGGAAAUGCUUCAUCAGCAUGCCGCUGACAAAGGCGGAAUACAUGUAAUAGAUUAAAGCAUUGGAUCAAUGCUAAACUUACUGACGUUGAUAACUUCUACUAUGGUUAUGUACAAAAACAUCUCAUUCUUAGGACAUACACACUAAAGAUCUUGUAAGAAAGGUCAUAGCAUAUACAGCUUACGUUCAAAUGAUUCAAGGGAAAAAAUCUUGAUAGGAAAAAUGAUAAAGCUAAGUGGGCAGUAAAGGUAAGCUGCAUAUUAUCAGU